rnacentral:rRNA from 1 species
CCUACGGGGGGCAGCAGUGAGGAAUAUUGGUCAAUGGGCGUAAGCCUGAACCAGCCAAGUCGCGUGAGGGAUGAAGGUUCUAUGGAUCGUAAACCUCUUUUAUAAGGGAAUAAAGUGCGGGACGUGUCCCGUUUUGUAUGUACCUUAUGAAUAAGGAUCGGCUAACUCCGUGCCAGCAGCCGGGGUAAUACGGAGGAUCCGAACGUUAUCCGGAUUUAUUGGGUUGAAAAGGUGCGUAGGCGGCCUUUUAAGUCAGCGGGGAAAGUCUGUGGCGCAACCAUAGAAUUGCCGUUGAAACUGGGAGGCUUGAGGUUGUUUGAGGCAGGCGGAAUGCGUGGUGUAGCGGUGAAAUGCUUAGAUAUCACGCAGAACCCCGAUUGCGAAGGCAGCCUGCCAAGCCAUGACUGACGCUGAUGCACGAAAGCGUGGGGAUCAAACAGGAUUAGAUACCCUUGUAGUC